CUCAUACCGAAGUAUUGAUCGGGACCUGCGCAGUGCAGUUAGCUUGGACUAAGCUAGACUUGCCUUGUGCACUCAUUGCGCCGCGCGCCGUCUGCCGGGAGACACGUACUGGUUCUUCAAAGUGUCAAGGAGGUGAUUGGUGAUGAUGAAGAGUCAAGGAUAAGGAGGUGAUAAACUACCUUCCGAGAUGGUUUUCUUGACGGGCCAGCAGAGGGAAGUACAUCAUGUUGCCAAUGAAUACCAAUGGAAGGGAUCCAGAUGAAAUGGCUGCUGACUACAAAUCACCAGUUUUAAACGUACGUGACCCAUUGCACUACAUGGUCAUCAUGCAAUCAACCGCACUCUCUCCUCCUCCAAUGACUACACAUCGCAAGGUUGGAAGCGACCUGCAUACAGCGACGCUCUGCUACUUUCAUCAGGGCGCCUGACCACCGCAUGGACGGAGAUCCUUUUUUUGAGGGGGAAAAUCAUCUAAUGACUUCUUCCGCCUUGGACGAGGGGAGAGGGAGUGUCAGACUCUUACUGACUAAAAACCACCUCGUUCCUACUCCUGCUUUUCGAGCCGGAGCCCCGGUAAACCCGCUAGGUAGUCUGCAGGGUGGAGAUCCUACACUACGCUUACCAAAUCAUAAAUGGGAAUGAAAUACGUGCUCUCUAAAACGGGGUAAACCUAGAAAGAGUCAUAAACAAGCACCUCAUAGCAGCUCCUAAUUUCAUUUAUCUAACUCAACCGGAGUGAUACCACGGCCUCACAGAAAACCGACGUGUAACAACGCUUGCGUUGUAUGAGUGAGGUUACCGGAGGCCCAAUUAUCCUUACCAAUCUUCUUAAUCACCGAUUGCCCGACAACCCUUAAAUUCCUAACCCCCAAAAAGCCGGCAAUGCACUUGUAACGCCUCUGGUGUUUCAAGUGUCCAUGGGCGGCGGCAAUUACUUACCAUCAGGUGAUCCGUCAGCUCGAUUACCGACUUAUGGGCAGUUGGGCAUAUGUAUCUCUCUGUAACCUCACGUUAUAAGCACUUGCCCACCACAGCAUCGUUCAAGAUGAUAACUUUGAAAGAAGGGGUGUAAGUGGCUCCCCCCACACCUGAAGAGCCAAAGCCAACCUCCCCUGCCCGUGGUACACCCUGCUGAUCAACGAACGAGGCUCUGGCGUUCCUGAUCUUCCCCAAUUUACCUCCUAGAGGCAACAACACACCUGCGCCUCUAUUGCUGCGGGUGUGGUUCCACCUCUUGCCUCCAAGCGGACAAUCAGCUUAAAAGGGCUAUAUUGAGGAAGUCAGGUCUUUGCAGAAGAGCUUCUGUAGACCAAAAGAUUAUUGUCUAUAGGAUUUCUUCUUUGUAUAUUGGAGAUAGGUAUGUUAUGCAUUUAGUCCUGAAUAAUAUAUCUACCUCCUUAUUUAAGGUGUAAAAUUGUAAAUAUACACUUAUUCCACGAUUGUGUAAAACUACUAAAACUAUUUUAAUUCGUCAUAUGUUCAAAGUUUAAAAUCAAUAUAUAUAUAUGUAUAUAUAUUAAAAAAUUAAUAGGUGAUUUAUCAAAAUAAAAACGAAAUAAAAAAUAUAAAAUAAUAAUA